rnacentral:rRNA from 1 species
CGGAUCGCAUGUAUUGUAUUAUUAAAGUUCCAACGGUAAAGAUGAGUAUGCGUCCCAUUAGCUAGAUGGUAAGGUAACGGCUUACCAUGGCAAUGAUGGGUAGGGGUCCUGAGAGGGAGAUCCCCCACACUGGUACUGAGACACGGACCAGACUCCUACGGGAGGCAGCAGUGAGGAAUAUUGGACAAUGGGCGCAAGCCUGAUCCAGCCAUGCCGCGUGCAGGAAUAAGGUCCUAUGGAUUGUAAACUGCUUUUAUACAGGAAGAAACACACCCUCGUGAGGGUACUUGACGGUACUGUAUGAAUAAGGACCGGCUAACUCCGUG